UUCUCCAAUUGCAAUAAUAAACCUGCCGUUUUCUCUCUGUGAUUUCAAACCUAACAGGAGACAAGGACUGGCGUUCCAAUCAGUUCAAGGUUACUGCUGACUGUCUUUUUCAUCACCUGCUUGUAAUUCCUGCUUUGAACUUUUGGAAAUGGUCCUCUGAUUUUUCCCUUGUGAUAAAAUAAUAGGUUACUGUGGUUUGUUUGGUCUGUGACUAUGGCCUGAGGACAGGCAAAUUACCUAGACCAGAACAACUGAAGGAAGGCUUAUCUCUAGUCAGUGUGAUUGGCUCAGAACUGGGCACACGAUCCAACCUGGGCUGUUGAGAAGUCUGGAGUUCUUAUCAAACCAAAGAGCCCUGUUUACUGUAGAUUCUUCAAGGGGAAGAAUUUCUGUUGAGAGCUACUCAGGAAUAACUCUGAUACCUGAGGUAUUGGAAAUCUUUCCAUAAAAGGAGAGAAAAAUCCCAACGGCGAGGGCAGUGGAAUUCAGAGAUGAGGAAAGCAAAUGCUGUGUGACAUCCUUUCAGCCUCUGGGCCAGCGGAGAUACAGUACGGAGCAUCCAGCACAGGAGUGGCUUUUGGGUAUAGAACUUUGCUUGGCAGCCUUGGCAGCAAGCACCUUUCCCCUCUCUGCCGUCUCAUGGGCCCCCAGUUUUGUUUGUUCUGGAAAUUGAACCUGGGGCUUUGUGCAUGUUAGCAGAUGGAUGGAGACUCACGCGGCUACAUUCAUUCUGGGAGUGUGUGAAAGACCAGCAGAGAUCAGAAAUCUAGCACACAGUCCACCCAGGCAACAGACCACAGGGAGACUCACGCGCGCACCACUGCACCGCAAGCCCAGGAAGCUGAAGCAAAGCAGAAGCGACAACCCAUCUUUGUCCCUCAGAAGAAAAGGUCACAGAGUCACAAAGGGUAAAUGGCCGGUGGAAAGCAAGCCCACAAGCCAGGCCUCAUCACAGUUGGCUUCACAUUGAGGGCCAGAAAAUUGCAAGAUGCUGCAUCUCCUUUGGCCUCUGCUGCUGCAUCGAGCUUGUGGGAACCCGGGUCCUAAGUGUUGUGUUGAAGUCCCUCCCCAAGGUAGCUGCUUGCCUCCCAUGUGCAGAGCCUGUGGGGCUAGCGAGGACCAUUUCCCUUCCCAGGUGUCCUCUCUGUUGGAAGUUGCUUGGACUGCAGAUGAGAACUGAAACUGAAAUACCCCCUAAAGAGAGAAGUGGAUGAAAAAAAAAAUCUUCGUUCGUUUACAACGCUUGACAAAUCUGCAAGAUUGGACACAAGAGCAUUACUAAAUGAUUAAAAGCCCAGGUUCUCCCCUCUGGGAGUAAGUGUGGGAGAGUAUUAGAUUACUGCUGAAUAAUGUAAUCACCGCAGCUUUCUGACAGCUCAAACAUACAGCCAGGACGCCCCUUUUCACUCUGUUUACCAACUGCAUUCAAAAAGCCAUCUUCCUUCUGGCGAAUUUCCCCAUUUUCCUCUACUUUAGUUUAUUGUGACUCAAUAAAAUAUGAACCUGGUGGAUUGCAACUUCCUUAAAGCAGCAGUCGCAUUUUCUAUGCAGGGUGGAAGGUGUGUGGUAACAGGAUUCGGGAAGCAUCUUUGGUGGAGGCAGGAAGGAUGUGGGUCCCUCACGCAAAGGAAGGAGAAUCAGAUGGACUUGGAUUGGCUGAGGAUUUAAUUAAACUGGCACUACCUUGUGCAUUCUCUCCACUGUUAGGAAUCAAUUUCUGAAUUUCUUCCAGAUGUCCAUAUUUGAUGACAAUCAAAGCAGAAACGUUCCCAGGGGGACAUAAUUGCUUUGGUACUAUUAAGCUGGCUGUGAGUGGUUAGCAAAAACACACAGAGCAGCUGGGCCAACGUGGUGCCUAGACGGAAGCCCCUUCCUUCUGUGUUUCUCCUUGUGUGUUACUGCCACUGUGGGUUUUUACUUUUUAGCUCCACACCCUCAGCAAUCAGAAAGGGCAGAGCAAGGGCUGGGGAGAUGGCUUACUUGGUGAAGUGCUUGCCAUGCCAACAUGAGAUCCUGAGUUCAAUCUCUAGCACCGACUUGAAGAUUCUAGGAGAGGUGGUAUGUACUUGUAAUCCCAGGACUAGGGAUCCCUCCAGGCAAAUUUGCUAGUAAACCCCAGAACUCAGUGAGAGACCCUGAUCCUGCCUCCAAAAAAAAAAAAAAGUAGGGGGAGAUAACUUCUGCAGAAUAAUAGCUGAGUUUGACCUCUGGCAUGAGCAUGCAUGAACACAUACAUGUCCCUGCCCCCACAUACACACUUACAACGUCAGGGCAGAAAAGGCAAAUAUCAAGCAUAACCAAUAGAGUUAUGCCUUGGGCACUCUGUCAGAUAAACCUGACUUUCUCAACCAUUGGCAGUCUCAUGUGUCCUUGCUUUGUUGAAUGUUUGAGAUUUUGUGGACUUUGUCUCAUUGGCUACUGUUUCCUUCCACAUAUGAUGACAUAUUGUAGAGAUGCAUUUAAUGUCUACAGAGUUAAGAAGUGUCUAAGGCAAUACUACUAAAAAUGGCAGGGCCAGAACUCAGGCCAGGUAUCAGAUUUUGAGACCAAUGAUCUUACACACCAUAAUGUUCUGUGAAAGAGCCUUUGGCUAGGACAUAGAUGGAGAGGACCUCUGCAUUCCUGGACUAACUCGAGAGAGAGAUGCUCCAGUGUCUAGUAGCGUGGCAAAGAGACACAAUGCAGCUGUCUGCAAAGAAACUUCAGGUCAUUGUCUUAAAUCCACAAUGGAUCUGCCUAAAUUCAUUCUAUGAUUUGAUUAUGACUGGCAUUAGUCAACUCAGAUUUAAGGGAUAGUUAGUGAGGUGAAACU